GUCCACACCGUAAACGAUGAAUGCUAGUUGUCUGCGCGCAUGCGUGCAGGUGACGCAGCUAACGCAUUAAGCAUUCCGCCUGGGGAGUACGGCCGCAAGGUUAAAACUCAAAGAAAUUGACGGGGGCCCGCACAAGCGGUGGAGCAUGUGGUUUAAUUCGAAGCAACGCGCAGAACCUUACCCGCGUUUGACAUGCCCUGUUUGGUUACCAGAGAUGGUUUCCUUCAUUUAGUUGGCAGGUGCACAGGUGCUGCAUGGCU
rnacentral:rRNA from 1 species